GACGAACGCUGGCGGCGUGCUUAACACAUGCAAGUCGAACGAUGAACUUGGAGCUUGCUCUGGGGGAUUAGUGGCGAACGGGUGAGUAACACGUGAGUAACCUGCCCUGGACUCUGGGAUAACUUCGAGAAAUCGGAGCUAAUACCGGAUAGGACCUUGCACCGCAUGGUGUGGGGUGGAAAGUUUUUCGGUUUGGGAUGGACUCGCGGCCUAUCAGCUUGUUGGUGAGGUAAUGGCUCACCAAGGCGUCGACGGGUAGCCGGCCUGAGAGGGUGACCGGCCACACUGGGACUGAGACACGGCCCAGACUCAUACGGGAGGCAGCAGUGGGGAAUAUUGCACAAUGGGCGCAAGCCUGAUGCAGCAACGCCGCGUGCGGGAUGACGGCCUUCGGGUUGUAAACCGCUUUUAGUAGGGAAGAAGCCUUCGGGUGACGGUACCACCAGAGAAAGCCCCGGCUAACUCCGUGCCAGCCGCCGCGGUAAGAC
rnacentral:rRNA from 1 species